GAUGAACGCUGGCGGCGUGCCUAAUACAUGCAAGUAGAACGCUGAAGGAGGAGCUUGCUCUUCUGGAUGAGUUGCGAACGGGUGAGUAACGCGUAGGUAACCUGCCUGGUAGCGGGGGAUAACUAUUGGAAACGAUAGCUAAUACCGCAUGACAACAGUUAUUGCAUGAUAACUGUUUAAAAGGGGCAACUGCUCCACUACCAGAUGGACCUGCGUUGGAUUAGCUAGUUGGUGAGGUAACGGCUCACCAAGGCGACGAUACAUAGCCGACCUGAGAGGGUGAUCGGCCACACUGGGACUGGGACACGGCCCAGGCUCCUACGGGGGGCAGCAGUAGGGAAUCUUCGGCAAUGGACGGAAGUCUGACCGAGCAACGCCGCGUGAGUGGAGAAGGUUUUCGGAUCGUAAAGCUCUGUUGUAAGAGAAGAACGAGUGUGAGAGUGGAAAGUUCACACUGUGACGGUAUCUUACCAGAAAGGGACGGCUAACUACGUG
rnacentral:rRNA from 1 species